GACGAACCGUGCGAACGUUAUUCGGAAUCACUGGGCUUAAAGCGCGUGUAGGCGGGAGGGCACGUCCGUUGCUGAAAUCCCCGGCUCAACCGGGGACGGGCGCGGAUACGACCUUCCUGGAGGGGCGUAGGGGGACCUGGAACUUCGGUGGAGCGGUGAAAUGCGUGAGAUCGGAAGGAACGCCCGUGGCGAAAGCGAAGGUC
rnacentral:rRNA from 1 species